CCCACCCCACGCCCUCACAUGCAAAUUCCAUUAUCUUUUUCCAUUCAUUCAUUUUGAGCCUCCCCCAAAUGCACACACAUAUUGUAAAGGAUAAUAGCGACUUCCAAUAGAGACAGAGCGAUGGACGCACCCGAGGUUCAAUCUAUUGAGACUUCCAGCAAAGACUUACCUCUUCCUCAAGAAGACGAACAAGACAAAGCUUUCAAUGAAUGUUGCUCCUGCUUUUAUGACUGCACGGAUUCCCUCAUUGACUACUUUUGCUGCACCGACAUCUGUUAAUUACUUCAAUUUUAUUUUCUUCUUGUAUUUAUUGGAGAUAUGCACAUCGCGCGGAUGAGAAUUUACUUCAUUUUUGUUCUUCAGAUCCGUUUCUGUGCUCCUUUUCGUUCUGAAUUAACUUUAUUUUCGUUAUAACACUAGUCAAUUUCUGCUCUCA